rnacentral:lncRNA from 1 species
AUUUUUUGCUGCAUGUUUAUCAAAAUUAAAAAAAUUGCGCUAUUUACAGUUUUAUAAAAUUUGGGUCACAUAAUCUCCUUGCAAAAUGAAACAAAUUGCUGUUUUAAAAAUAGGGGUCCAUGCACUCGUUUUCAAAUUAAAUCAGUUUGAAUGAUAAAAAUCAGUCGAAAAAUGCAUCUUUUCCCGAUAUGUCAUAGUUUGACGUCGCGAAAAUAACAUUUUACGUUAGCAACGUCAUUACCUUCCCUGUAACUGUAUCGUAUGCCCUUAAGUUCUGUAUUAUGUCGUU